GACGAACGCUGGCGGCGUGCCUAACACAUGCAAGUCGAGCGAAGAACUUCGGUUCUUAGCGGCGGACGGGUGAGUAACACGUGGGUAACCUGCCUCAAAGAGGGGGAUAGCCUCCCGAAAGGGAGAUUAAUACCGCAUAAUAUUAGAUCUUCACAUGGAGAUUUAGUUAAAGGAGUAAUCCGCUUUGAGAUGGACCCGCGGCGCAUUAGCUAGUUGGUGAGGUAACGGCUCACCAAGGCGACGAGGCGUAGCCGACCUGAGAGGGUGAUCGGCCACAUUGGAACUGAGACACGGUCCAGACUCCCACGGGAGGCAGCAGUGGGGAAUAUUGCACAAUGGGCGAAAGCCUGAUGCAGCAACGCCGCGUGAGUGAUGAAGGCCUUCGGGUUGUAAAACUCUGUCUUUGGGGACGAUAAUGACGGUACCCAAGGAGGAAGCCACGGCUAACUACGUGCCAGCAGCCGCCGUAAUAC
rnacentral:rRNA from 1 species